rnacentral:rRNA from 1 species
CAGUCGCCGCGGUAAUACGUAGGUGGCAAGCGUUGUCCGGAAUUAUUGGGCGUAAAGGGCUCGCAGGCGGUUUCUUAAGUCUGAUGUGAAAGCCCCCGGCUCAACCGGGGAGGGUCAUUGGAAACUGAGAAACUUGAGUGCAGAAGAGGAGAGUGGAAUUCCUCGUGUAGCGGUGAAAUGCGUAGAGACGUGGAGGAACACCAGUGGCGAAGGCGACUCUCUGGUCUGUAACUGACGCUGAGGAGCGAAAGCGUGGGGAACGAACAGGAUUAGAUACCCGUGUAGUCCCUGUCUCUUAUAC